GUGGGGCUCCCAGAAAACCCUGUGAUUUGCCUCUCUCUGAACGCUUCACGCACUCUGUCAUCAAGAGGACAUUUUACCGCCGGUACUGACGCCUUCCCUGGUGCAAAACCUUUCAUCUCAGAAUAUCAAAGAUUUUUGCAAGCACUAAUUCAUUAAUUAAGCCUCUUGAUGACUGUUCAGAGAAAGAGAGAAGAAAAAUGUAUUUCAAAAAGAAAGAGACUUAAAAUUCGGGUGGUAUGGGUGGCAGCUUCCUUGAACAUAGAAUGGCAUUUCACACGUGUCAUUGUGACCCCCCCACAAAUCCGUCACUGAAUCCAGAACAGACCUUUCUAUGAGGAUGCAAGUGUUUUUCAGAAUGUGAAACCUGGUGAAUUUGCUGAGAUUUAUCGGUUCACUUCGGAGUUGCUGUGGAAGACUGUGGUGCUAAAACCCUACCCCUGGGGAGAGGGAAGCCUGCCUUGGAUUUAAGCCAGGUUUUCAAGAAACUGCCUUCAAAGGCAAAGCCAAGAAAAAUGGUUGACUCUUUUGGUCUCAAUUAGUUGAAAUGCUGAAACGCAAAAUCAGUCAACAUAAAACAUUAUUGCCCCAGGUCCAAGUAAAAAUAAAAGAGACUGGAAAAUAUUUCCACUCUUUCCACCACCCAACACAUGUACUGUAAGUAAAGUUACAGCCAAUCCAGGACCAGGAUGUUGCUGCUUGGAAACAAAGGAUUAGGAAGUGAUGUAGGAAAAUGCUAGGAAUGUGUGCCCAGAAUCACAUGGUCAUUUUCCUACCCAGAAUCACAUAUACAAGACUCAUCAUUAUACUUUCUGCAUCCAUCCAAAUGCAUCUGUGGGUUACCAGAAUUAUCACUGGUAAUGUCGAGAAGAAUAUAAUUAAUUGGCCAUGAACACCCCAGUUUGUAAACCCACACUUUGAACGACUAUGACUAAGCCAGUACAGGCACCGUGCUGGGAUCACAUUUGAUUCUUUCAAGGUUUUUAGAAAUUAAUACGUAUGUCUACAAAACACACACUAGGGUUUAAUUAUUUCUAUUAAUCAAUUCAUUUUUAAACUUUCUCCCCUUCUCUGUCUUUCAACUCUUGACCACGUAGCUGAGCGGUGAAAUGUGGAGUAAUACAACAAGAAUGAAAAUUUUGACUUCACCCCGUAAGACCUGUGUAAUGUUGGGGGAAUUCACUUAACUUCUCUAAGAUUCACUUUCCUAACCUACAAAAUGGAAGCAAUUCCAGUAAUGACUUUGUGAAGAAAUGUUAUACACGUGGCCACCCAGAGACUCUCAUUUGUGUCUACCACGUGCUUCUUGGAGCAGAUCACACCCCAGAUUAGGUAAAGACUUGGAGCCCUCAUUAAAGAGAGGAUGAUGCCUAGAGCCCACCAAGAAAUACAUUAUGCAAAGCACAUUCCUACAUCGAAACACGUUAAAAGGAAUAAAUGUACCAAGGGACAAAAUCUAAACAAGGCUCAGCAAACAAUGUUGCAUUUUUGAAAAUGAGCAGAGUAGACAAUCCAGAAACAACGCGUAGAGCCACUCUGUCUCCCUGUGUGAUGCCUUUGCAGUCAAACUCUGAAGCUGAAGACUUAAUUAUCCCAAAAGGAAGGGAGGUCUCAGAAAUCUACGCCGAUAACCCUUCAAGGUGAAUACCCAAGUUUAGUGUUCUCCUAACCACAGUGGUAGACAAUUCUCUGUAAUUUUUUGUUACCACUUAUCAAGCAUAUAUUGAGUGAGUUUUGUGUGUUUGAUUCUGUAGUAGAGCGUGUUUAGAAAAGUCCAAAAUAUACGAUCCCUUCCUUCAAACAC